AACAGUUACUAGCUUGCUAGUAAGCUGGCGAGUGGCGAACGGGUGAGUAACGCGUGGGAAUAUGCCUUAAAGAGGGGGAUAACUUGGGGAAACUCAAGCUAAUACCGCAUAAUGUCUGAGGACAAAAGCUAGGGACCUUCGGGCCUGGCGCUUUAAGAAUAGCCUGCGUCUGAUUAGCUAGUUGGUGAGGUAAAGGCUGCACCAAGGCGACGAUCAGUGGCUGGUCUGAGAGGAUGAACAGCCACACUGGGACUGAGACACGGCCCAGACUCCUACGGGAGGCAGCAGUGGGGAAUAUUGGACAAUGGGGGCAACCCUGAUCCAGCAAUGCCGCGUGUGUGAAGAAGGCCUGAGGGUUGUAAAGCACUUUCAGUGGGGAGGAGGAU
rnacentral:rRNA from 1 species